CCGGGUGACGCUUUCAGCUCCCAGAAACGAGGAUUUUCAGCUGCGUAGCUGACUAACGAUAACUACUGACUGGACCGAGUGGAGUGGAGACUGGUUUUACGACUGGAGUCCCGACUGCAGCGGUCAGAGUCUGCUUUUAAAAGAUGUUUCUCAUCAGAAAUCAUCUGAAGCUGAGCAACUGGAACAUUCUCUCUUUGGGCCUCAUCCAGUAUGGUGGCAGUCCAUAUCAUUUUCAACACUCAACUGUGCUCUUACACAAGUGGCCUCAUCCUGAUGCUUCUUUCAUUACACUGAAAAUCAUUGU